UACGAAGGGGGCUAGCGUUACUCGGAAUUACUGGGCGUAAAGGGCGCGUAGGCGGCGCUCCAAGUUAGGCGUGAAAGUCCUGGGCUCAACCUGGGAACUGCGCUUGAUACUGGAGUGCUUGAGGAUGGAAGAGGGUCGUGGAAUUCCCAGUGUAGAGGUGAAAUUCGUAGAUAUUGGGAAGAACACCGGUGGCGAGGGCGGCGACCUGGUCCAUUACUGACGCUGAGGCGCGACAGCGUGGGGAGCAACAGG
rnacentral:rRNA from 1 species